rnacentral:rRNA from 1 species
GACGAACGCUGGCGGCGUGCUUAACACAUGCGAGUCGAACGAUGAAGCAAAGAAUUGAAGCUUCGGCAGAAAUUCAUUUCGGAUUAGUGGCAGACGGGUGAGUAACGCGUGAGCAACCUACCUCUUACAAAGGGAUAGCCUCGGGAAACCGGGAUUAAUACCAUAUAACAUUGCGACGAAGCAUUUCGAUGCAAUCAAAGCUACGGCGGUAAGAGAUGGGCUCGCGUCCCAUUAACCAGAUGGUGAGGUAACGGCUCACCAUAGUAACGAUGGGUAACCGGCCUGAGAGGGUGAACGGUCACACUGGAACUGAGACACGGUCCAGACUCCUACGGGAGGCAGCAGUGGGGAAUAUUGCACAAUGGAGGGAACUCUGAUGCAGCGACGCCGCGUGAGUGAUGAAGGAAUUCGUUUCGUAAAACUCUGUUCUAUGGGAAGAAAAGGACUGUACCAUAGGAGAAAGCUCCGGCUAAAUACGUG